UCACAGGAAGUUGAGGCCCAGAGAGAGGAAGGGGCUGGUUUGAUGUCCCAUAUAGAGAGGUGGCACAGCCAGGGCUGGGUAUCCCAGUCCCGUGUCGUGUCCAGCAUUUUAGUGCAGACUCACAUGCACAUCAAAUGCACAACCAUGCAAUGACAGACAAGCAGCUCCACAGGAGGAGUGCACAACCAGAGGGGAGAGGAGAGAGCCUGGACAGCCUCUGUCCUCACCUCCUCAGUGGCCAUGUGGUGACGGCUGGGUUUUUUAUUUUUUUCUCCCUAGAUGAGCUUCACAUCUCAGGUAACUGGAGAAGUCUUCAGCUUGUCUUGUCCUCUCCACAGGUGGGGUGCCCACUGCUUCAACAGGGGCCAGAACAGUCUGCCCUCUUCCAUAGCUGUAAACCUCUGCUUGGCCCAGCAGGAGUGAGGGUAGAGGGGAGUAGGGCUCAAGGUGCCCUCGCUACCUAGUAGAUGGUAGGAGAGCAUAACCAAAAGCCAAAGAGCUGUUUACAUGACUGGGUUCUCCCUGUGGCCUUCUGAGAUUGCAGGAGAUGGAAAGGGGGAGACCGGAUCCUAGGGGAACCCAAUAUUCAGGUUUUCCUGGGUUCCUGAGAUGCAAGAUUUCCAAUUUUAAGACAUGGGAAGUUGUAGGCAGACUGGGAUGAGUUGGUCACCUGGGUCUUCCAUAGCUCCCAGUCUGAGAAAAUGAGACUCACCCAGUAAUAAGCAGAAGAUUUGGCUGGGUGAGGUGGCUCAUGCCUGUAAUCCCAGCACUUUGGGAGGCCGAGACAGGCAGAUCACAAGGUCAGGAGUUUGAGACCAGCCUGGCCAAGAUGGUGAAACCCCAUCUCUACUAAAGAUAUAAAAAUUAGCCGGGCGUGGUGGUGGGUGCCUGUAGUCCCAGCUACUCGGGAGGCUGAGGCAGGAAAAUCACUUGAACCCGGGAAGCGGAGGUUGCAGUGAGCCGAGAUCGUGCCACUGCACUCCAGCCUGAAGACAGAGCAAGGCUCCAUCUUAAAAAAAAAAAUGCAGAAGAUACUAUGGAAUGGGCCAGGAGAAAAAGGAAGGAUCAGGGAUGGGAGAGACACAGUGAGCCACACAGUAGCUGGCAUUCUGCAUGGUGGGCCUGGGCAGCCUGGCUCUUCAUUUGCAUAUGGGUCUUUCCCACCCCAGUCAAAUCUGCUGGAGCCAAUUCUGCUUCCUUCCAACAAAGAUGCCCAGACACCUGGCGGUAGUGUGUUACUUCCUGCUCCCAGCUCCUCUAACACCCCUGGAGAGCUCCAUGCCCACAGGUCUUACCUUCACCCACUUUCCCAGGCUCUUAGAUCAAACAUCAGGCACAGUGCAGGCAAUGGGGCCAUCCUCCCAAGUCCCAAAAGCCUUCUGUUUCCAGUAGAGAUGGGAGAAGCCUGAACUAAGCAGGUUUCUCACUUCCUUAUGGAGGAAGAAGAGCUAAGAGAGGUGACUGAUUUUAGUACAAAGGGCACAGGGCACAGAAACAUGCAGGAAUACAUUAGCUGCGUGCACUCCAGUGAUACAUAGCCUCUGUAAACCUGUUUCCUUAUCCUGAAAAUGGGGACAUUGUUCCUAUCUUGUGAUUGUAUUAAGGAUCAAAUGAGCAGCUGCUCAACAGAGGUUUCUGGAGAGGUCCUUCUCCACACAGACUUGGGAGGAGAUGCUUGUCCUAGGUCCAAAUCUCAUCCAGGUUUCCCGAUUUUUUCAGGUCUUCUGCUCAACUCAGGUACCAGCUGACACCCACCCAGUCCCUGGUGUUGCCUUCAGGAGCAGUGGCAAGAUGGGAGCUGGUUGGGGAAGGGGAUCCUAGCGCAGGGGGGAGGAGGAGAGAAUGGAAUGGCUGGACUUUGAGAUGAGAAGACAGUUGGAUGGGGAGGAGGCACCAUUUGCUGGAACUGAAGGGUUCUCAGUAGGGGCUCGAGGCAGGAUGUAUCUGUGAUAUCUGGACCUCUGGAGUCCCUUAAGCACAAGGAGGCAAGUGUGUGGCAGUGAAGACAUUCUGCCUUGGGCCCAAGCCCAAGACAGGUCUCCCUGAGCCCUGGGCAGACCAUCCGACCUAUGGUCAUUGGAAGGACCCACCUCCUCCCUAUCCCAGGCCUGUGUAAACGCCAGGAAGGCAGGUCCCUUUCUCCAUGCAGGCCCUGACUGGGGCAGUCAGCACCAUUAAGUUCUUCCUCUCUGAGGCUUUCCUGGGUCAACACUUCGAGGCUGUGUAGUUGGAGGGCAGGGAGCCUGAGCCAGGAGACGUCUUCCUGUUCAGGCUGAUUCCCCCCACCUGACGCUGGUGCGGGGCCCACGUUGGCAUAUACUGUGGCCAUGGAGAGAUCAUCCACUUUGAGGGUGAGUGCCUCCAGCAGAAACACAGGCCCAAGUCUGCGGAGAGGCUGCCCAGCCAAGCCACGCCCCACCAGUGAGCUGGCUACUCGGGGAUAAAGACUGAAGUCCCAGGCUGGGGGUGUCAAUGGACGUGGACGUGUCCCCGGAUUAAGCAUGACCUUGGCCCUCCUGGGUGGACGUGGAGGCUUCAGAAAGAUUCAUUAAACUACUUUCCAAAGCUU
rnacentral:lncRNA from 1 species